UCUUAUAGAUCAAACUCAUGAUCCAUGAGCGGAUGGAAGUUUUAAAUAGUGACUUCUUUGAUCGUAAACUGAAAGGCUUAAGUGGAAGAGUUGAACAGGCACAAUGCUUGAAAAAGCAUGAAGAACUGGCUCUAACAUUCCUAAAAAAAGUAGCAAAGCUUGAGAGACGUAUUAAUACUGUGAUAACAUUUCAGAAGAAAGUGAUGUCAAAAAUGUUUGGUCAUCAGACAAGGCUUCCAAGUGCAGACUCUCAAAAUACAAUUCUAAACCGUCUUGGA